AAGGAGUCUAGUAAAUGAGCGAGUCUAAGGUAUCGCAGCGAAUACCGCAGGCGUUGCGAAGGCGUUUGUCCGCGAGCGACUCGCGCGCUCCGCGGACGAGUGCCGACUUCGUAGCGACGAUGGGGGUGAAGUCUCGCGAGAGACGCGCGCGAAAGAGCGGCCCCUCGCAGUCGCGAGGCGGUCUCGUUCCCGUCGGCGUUCGCCUCGGCGUCGCCGUUCGAGAAGAGCCGUCCUCUUAGCUUACGUGCUAGUACCCGAAAGAUGGUGAACUAUGCUUGACGAGAGCCGAGUUAGGGGAAACCCUGAUGUAAGCUCGUCAUCGAUUCUGACGUGCAAAUCGAUCGUCCGAGUUACGUAUAGGGGCGAAAGACCAAUCGAACCAUCUAGUAGCUGGUUCCUUCCGAAGUUUCCCUCAGGAUAGCUCGCGUCGCAUUAGCUAGUAACAUGUGGUAAAGCUAAUGACUAGAGGUAUUGGGACCGAAACGGCCUCAACCUAUUCUCAAACUUUCAAUGUGUGUGAGUACCGGCGGCUUACGGUGAGAGACGGCGCGCGCGCGACUCGUCGCGCGCGCGUCCGUCGCGAAGCCGCCGUCGCGUAUAACGCGGCGCGUAGUGGGCCGAUUUUGGUAAGCAGAAACGGCGAUGCGGGAUGAACCGAACGUAAAGCUAAAGCGUCGAAGUUAACG
rnacentral:rRNA from 1 species